rnacentral:lncRNA from 1 species
AUUAUUAGUUUCAAGUGUCACAAGCUAGCUGUGUCCCAAACUGAAGCUUUUCCCCUGUUAACCUGGGGCCUGUUCUUCGUACGUCGCUAACUCAUUUAGCUGGAUUUGAUUGUUGAUGAUUUGGCGUGAUCUUGGAUCGUUUGGUUCUUCGAAGCUCAUCCCGGAGCUGCUGUCAUAGCAACAGGUCCGUCAGCUGAGGUUUAUUUCAUGUAAACAAAAACACUUGACUUGCAUCUGCAGCAAAAAGAAAUGCACAUACUGUAGCUCAAAGCUGUCUUAUGUUUGUUCUACUGGAAAACUCUUUCACUUAACAUCCUGGAGCUGGUCUAGUGAGGCCUCUGCUGAGUCAGAACACCAGACAGCUGGUCCGGAGGUGAUCUAUGAUGAUGUACCCUGUGAUGAUCUGUCUUCCGGAGAAGCUGACUUGAUCUAUGAAGACUUUCAGAAAGAGGAGGGCUUGCAAGGGCUCAAUAAUGGCUCGAGCUCAAGUGAGUUCGAAAGCUAUGACGAUGAGCAGUCCGUUUCUGAGAGGUCUCCAAGUCUCCAAGCCGCAGCAAGGUGCGUGUGUGUGUGUGUGUGUGUGUGUGUGUUAAUUCAAGACUCCCCACGACUGCAAUAA